AUUGUAAAAGUGAAAAAUGAUUUUAAUCUACAUGAUCCUCACAGCUCUGGUGCCAACAGCAAAAGGUUUGAUGGAAUGUAAUGUAUCUGUAACAACUCAAACUCAUCAGUGUAUUGCAGCACUUGGGAAGCCGUUGGCUUUUCAUCUGCCCACUACUGCAACAACGAUAACAUUGAAAAAAGAUAAGAAUAACAUUUUAAACAUAGUAAAUAAUAAAGUAGCUUUAGAUAAGGGAAACCAAGGUCUCA